CCCUUUGUGAACCUUACCUAUCGUUGCUUCGGCGGAUCCGCCCCGGCCGGCCCCUCGGGGCCUCCGGAACCAGGCGUCCGCCGGAGAACCCAAACUCUUUGUUUUACUUUGUUUUCUCCUCUGAGUGGAUUUAUACAAAUAAAUAAAAACUUUCAACAACGGAUCUCUUGGUUCUGGCAUCGAUGAAGAACGCAGCGAAAUGCGAUAAGUAAUGUGAAUUGCAGAAUUCAGUGAAUCAUCGAAUCUUUGAACGCACAUUGCGCCCGCCAGUAUUCUGGCGGGCAUGCCUGUUCGAGCGUCAUUUCAACCCUCAGGCCCCCAGUGCCUGGCGUUGGGGAUCGGCCGACGGCGGUUUUCGAACCUGCCUGGCCGGCCCCGAAAUCUAGUGGCGGUCUCGCUGUAGUCCUCCUCUGCGUAGUAGCACAACCUCGCAGUUGGAACGCGGCGGCGACCAUGCCGUUAAACACCCCACUUCUGAAAGUUGACCUCGGAUCAGGUAGGAAUACCCGCUGAACUUAAGCAUAUCAAUA
rnacentral:rRNA from 1 species